UACGUAGGUGGCAAGCGUUAUCCGGAUUUACUGGGUGUAAAGGGCGUGUAGGCGGGAUAGCAAGUCAGAUGUGAAAUCCUGUAGCUUAACUACAGAACUGCAUUUGAAACUAUGAGUCUAGAGUGUGGGAGAGGUAGGUGGAAUUCUUGGUGUAGGGGUAAAAUCCGUAGAUAUCAAGAGGAAUACUCAUUGCGAAGGCGACCUACUGGAACAUUACUGACGCUCAUGCACGAAAGCGUGGGGAGCAAACAGG
rnacentral:rRNA from 1 species